rnacentral:lncRNA from 1 species
CCGCUAGGGAGCGACGAACUACUUCCGGCGUCCGCGGACCAACUCUCGCGACAGCCAGCUCAAAGCAGGCAAGAACCGGAAGGGGCGGGGACGUUCCCCGUGAGCCUUCGCGGUGCUGGCUGCUCAUCUGCAUACGGAAGUUCGGCACAUUAUGAAUUAUUUAUUUUCCUCGAGGGAAAAAAUUAAAUGAAAAGCAACAAAAUACAUUAUUAACAAGUGAGACAAACUUCAAUGGAACUGGAUCAUGACCUCAACAGUCAACUACGAUAGUCAUCAUACGCCUAAUGAGAAUAGAAUUCAUUACCUAGGAAAUAAACUAAAAACGUCCUUAUGCCUUAAACUUAUGAGUAAGGAAAAUAACGAUUCGGGGUGACGCCCGAAUCCUCACUGCUAAUGUGAGACGAAUUUUUGAGCGGGUAAAGGUCGCCCUCAAGGUGACCCGCCUACUUUGCGGGAUGCCUGGGAGUUGCGAUCUGCCCGACCUUAUUCACGCCUAAAAAGUAGACUGACUGUGGGGUGGUCGUGUUUUUUGUUUCUUGUUGGUAGGUGGUGAAUGCGUUUUUUUCGUUGUUUUCUCCGUUACUCAGGCUGCCAGUUGCUUGGCAGUCUUGUCGCUGGCUGUGGACGCUCUGCACUUCAUCACCGUCCCCAGCUGCGCUUUGAGCCGGUCUAAGGUUGCCCACAGUAUUGACGUUGGGACCCACGAAACUGGCAAUUUCCAUGUGUGCGG